CCCUUAGAUGUUCUGGGCCGCACGCGCGCUACACUGAUGCAUUCAACGAGCCUAUCCUUGACCGACCGGUCCGGGUAAUCUUUGAAUCUGCAUCGUGACGGGGAUAGAUUAUUGCAAUUAUUAAUCUUCAACGAGGAAUGCCUAGUAGGCGCAAGUCAUCAGCUUGCGUCGAUUACGUCCCUGCCCUUUGUACACACCGCCCGUCGCUCCUACCGAUUGGGUGUGCAGGUGAAAUGUUCGGAUCGGCCGUUUGUCGCGGUUUCCGCGUCAUGUGGCUGAGAAGUUCAUUAAACCCUCCCACCUAGAGGAAGGAGAAGUCGUAACA
rnacentral:rRNA from 1 species